AGUCACUGACAUUAGACUACCCCCGUAGUCCCAGCCGUAAACAAUGUGCGUUAGGUGUGUCGGUAACCACGUGUUACUGAUGCGCCGAAGAGAAAUCGUGAAACGCACCACCUGGGAAGUACGGUCGCAAGGCUGAAACUUAAAGGAAUUGGCGGGGGAGCACCACAACAGGUGGAGCCUGCGGUUUAAUUGGAUUCAACGCCGGACAUCUCACCGGAUAAGACAGCUGAAUGAUUGUCAAUCUGAAGGUUUUACAUGACUAGCUG
rnacentral:rRNA from 1 species